AUCAAAUGAAGAAAAGCUUACGGUGGAUACCUAGGCACCUAGAGACGAUGAAGGGCGUGGAAACCAACGAAAUGCUUCGAGGAGCUGGAAACAAGCUAUGAUUCGGAGAUUCCCGAAUAGGGCAACCUUUUAUACUACCUAUUGAAUUCAUAGAUAGGAAAGAGACAACCCAGUGAACUGAAACAUCUUAGUAGCUGGAGGAAAAGAAAGCAAACGCGAUUCCCUUAGUAGCGGCGAGCGAAAUGGGAACAGCCUAAACCAACUCGAUCUGUCGAGUCGGGGUUGUGGGAAGAAAGUCUAUGUUUUACCUAGAAAACAACCUGGGAGCCCUAGGUUCCCAGGCUACGGGUUAUCAAGCAAAGCUUGAUUACCCGUUGCCUAAAUUUAACAACAAAGUUGUUAAAUAAAGUUUUCCCUAAAUGUUUUAUCUUAGACCCUUGCCGUUGACGGCAGGGCAACGGUAAAACAUAAAGUUUUACGCUUUGCGUAAAGCCUACGGGGAAAGCCUGCCGGCCACGGUCUUUACCUUUUGGUAAAAACCAAAAGGCAAGGGCCAGGUAAAAUUUUAUGAAGAAUUCACUUAACUAGGUGAAGCAGCUGAAUCCUGCACCAUAGAUGGUGAAAGUCCAGUAGCCGAAAGUUCAGUGAUAUAUCCAACUAAAAACCUUAUUAAUAAGGUCAGCCUUGAUUGUUUGGGCCCUUGCUCAUUAGUCUUUACCCUUUGGCCGUUGCUCAUUAGCAACGGCUAAUGAGUAAAGACUAAUGAGCAAGGGCCGGGCUACGGAUCAACUAAAUUUCUUAUCCCGAGUAGCAUGGGGCACGUGAAAUCCCGUGUGAAUCAGCGAGGACCACCUCGUAAGGCUAAAUACUCCUAGGUGACCGAUAGUGAAAUAGUACCGCGAGGGAAAGGUGAAAAAGAACCCCUGUAGGGGAGUGAAAUAGAACAUGAAACCGUAAGCUGUCAAGCAGUGGGAGGGCGAAAAGCCUGACCGCGUGCCUGUUGAAGAAUGAGCCGGCGACUUAUAGGGAGUGGCGUGGUUAAAGAAAACCAUCUGAAGCCAAAGCGAAAGCAAGUCUUAAUAGGGCGCUAAUGUCACUUCUUAUGGACCCGAACCCGGGUGAUCUAACCAUGGCCAGGAUGAAGCUUGGGUAAAACCAAGUGGAGGUCCGAACCGACCGAUGUUGAAAAAUCGGCGGAUGAGCUGUGGUUAGGGGUGAAAUGCCAAUCGAACUCGGAGCUAGCUGGUUCUCCCCGAAAUGCGUUGAGGCGCAGCGGUUGAUGACUUGGGCUAUCUAGGGGUAAAGCACUGUUUCGGUGCGGGCUGCGAGAGCGGUACCAAAUCGUAGCAAACUAAGAAUACUAGAUAUGCUUUCCAUCAACCAGUGAGACGGUGGGGGAUAAGCUUCAUCGUCGAGAGGGAAACAGCCCAGAUCACCAGCUAAGGCCCCUAAAUGACCGCUAAGUGGCAAAGGAGGUAAGAAUGCUGAAACAACCAGGAGGUUUGCUUAGAAGCAGCCACCCUUAAAAGAGUGCGUAAUAGCUCACUGGUGGAGCGUUCUUGCGCCGAAAAUGAACGGGACUAAGCGGUCUGCCGAAGCUGUGGGAUUUUUAAACUAAACAACCAUAAUUUGAUUCCAUCAAAUUAUAUACGCAGAAGACCAUGGGUAUGCGAGCGUAGCUCGCCAACCUUACUGCUUGAACUUGUUCAAGUAGUUUAGGAAGAACACAAGUCCAAAGUUUGUGUGAAACACAAACUAGGAUCUUCCACUUCGUGGAAGUCCAAAAUGUGUGCUUGCACACAUUAGGAUCUUUAAGCGAAGCUUAAAGUCUUCUUACUUUUUUUCUGCGCUACGACCUAUGUUAAAAAUCGGUAGGGGAGCGUUCCGCUCUAGGGUGAAGCAUAAACGCAAGUUAAUGUGGACAAAGCGGAAGUGAGAAUGUCGGCUUGAGUAACGCAAACAUUGGUGAGAAUCCAAUGCCCCGAAAACCUAAGGGUUCCUCCACUAGGCUCGUCCAUGGAGGGUGAGUCAGGACCUAAGGCAAGGCCGAAAGGCGUAGUCGAUGGAAAACAGGUUAAUAUUCCUGUACUAAUUCUUGAUUAGUACCGAGGGACGAAGAAAGCAAAGGUUAAUCAAAAUUGGAUUUUUGGUGGAAACGUUCAAGGUGUCGAGAGGUAGAAUAAAAACUAACCUUGAGCUGAGACGUGAUACGGAUUCAUUCCCUGGAAUUAGUGUAAGCUAGUUUCAUAGUGAAACUUAACUAGUUGUUAAACUUCCUAGAAAAGCUCGAACUACUAAUAAUUAAGAAUUACCUGUACCCCAAACCGACACAGGUAGGUGGGUAGAGUAUACCUAGGGGCGCGAGAUAACUCUCUCUAAGGAACUCGGCAAAAUGGCCCCGUAACUUCGGGAGAAGGGGUGCCUCUAGAAAUAGAGGCCGCAGUGACCAGGCCCAGGCGACUGUUUACCAAAAACACAGGUCUCCGCUAAGUCGUAAGAC
rnacentral:rRNA from 1 species